rnacentral:sRNA from 1 species
UAAAAAGGACCGAGUCGUCUAAAGUCGCAACGUCCUGUUGCAACGCCGACACUAGCACGUCCUGUGCG